CUUUGCUCUGACGAUGGAUUAAAUUAUCGUUGGGAGGCUAUCAGUUCGAACUUGCCGUCCAAACUCGAUGAUGACCCAAAAGGCCCUCCUAUUGCAAAACACCCUUCCAUGUUCAAUCUCCUAAAUGAAGGAUGUUCAAAGCUUAUUGAGAACGAUGAUAGAGGACUUGAUAAAUACCCGAUGUUUAGAACCGAAUUUGGUAACUCUGUGGCGUUGAAAGAAUCUUCAAUAGCAAAAGCAAUAUCUAUCCUCAAUAAAGAAGACGUUACCUCUACUGUUACUCCAAGUGGAAGGUCAUUAUAUGUUUCAAGUGAAGCACUGAAUAGCG